AGAUCAAUGGAACACAGUUGCGUAGCAACCUGUGAUGGGAGGACAAAGAGUAACAUAGAUUAGAUAAAGACCAAGGGAGGAAGGGAGACGGAGGGACUCAGAGCCGGCUUGCCAGCAGGCAUGCCAGGCUGCGGGGACUUGCUUCUAUUCAGCCACAUAAGCAUCCGUGAAGUCGGCACUGAUGUUGGGCGAUUAUGCCUGGCUCGCAGUCGACGUUCCAAUUCAUCCCAAAGGUGUUCGAUGGAGUUGAGGUCAGGGCUCUUUGCAGGCCAGUCAAGUUCUUCCACAGAAUUAAAUGCCUAAACUGUUAACCUUUGAGUUGUUUCUGGUUGAACACUGUAACCACGCAGAAUUAACAAUGCAACCAUGCAAAAUGAAUGCAUCAAAAAUAGAUGUUCAUUAAUAAUAUGUCACAUUCCCAGAUCUUGUUGAUGAGAGAUGGGGUACAUACUUCUGUGUGUCUUGUGUUUUUGGGGUGUCCACACAGCCUUGUAGGUAGAGUGUGAGAGGAAAUGAUGGUUAUGUGCAUAGAGAUGUGGUUGCUAUGACAACAUCUAUUAGUCAGAAGGUCACUAAGUGUCCAUUCUCUCUCCUCCAUAAAGUUUAACAGCCUCUCUGUUCCCUGGUGUUAUUGUAACACUAGACACCACACACACAUAAACACACACACUCAUACAUACUCACACACUAUCUCUCCCUCACACAGAGAUACAGGUGUGUGUGUGUGUGUGUGUGUGUGUGUGUGUGUGUGUGUGUGUGUGUGUGUGUGUGUGAGAGAGUAUGCUUUCAGCCACUUUGCUUGGAACAGAUAAAGAUAAUUAAAUGAGCAGCUAAACAGAGUGCUGCUGGCGUCACCAUGGUAGCACUUUGAUCUGCUACGUCUCUGUGAUAGUAUCAUCAACUCAUCGGUCUACACACACACACACGUACACACAGAAAUAGGGCACUUCCUGUAGAUAUUCUUUUCCCUUUAGCCCUUCUCCCUGUAGUGUGCACUUGUUCACUUCCCCCUCAUUGAAGUGUGCAAUUAUUGAACUGGUGGAAGAAAUAUGGUGUGGACUCCAUCUAUUCUACAGUCUACAACAAUCCAAUGCUUUUACAUUUUUAAGUCCUUGAGGGGGAAUGAAUGCAGACUUCAGAUAACAGGGGCGAGGUGUUGGAUUUGCGCUUCAGUGUUUAAUUGGCACUGACCUCUAACCUCUAAGCCCUGACUUCCAACAUUCACCCCCCCCUCACACACACACACACACACACACACAGUGCCUUGAGAAAUAAUUCACACCUCUUGACUUUUUCCACAUUUUGUUGUGUUACAGCCUGAUUUAAAACAAUUCUCAGCCAUCUUCACAAAGUACCCCAUAAUGACAAAGUAAAAAACAUGUUUUUAGACAUCUUUGCUCAUUUAGUAUUCACACCCCUGAGUCAAUAAUUUGUAGAAGCACCUUUUGCAGCAAUUACAGCUGUGAGUCUAAGUCUCUAAGAACAUUCCACACCUGGAUUGUGCAACAUUUGCCCAUUAUUCUUUUCAAAAUUCUUCAAGCUCUGUCAAGUUGGUUGUUGAUGAUUGCUGGAAAGUAGACUGACCAAGUUUUCCUCUAGAAUUUUCGCUGUGCUUAGCUCCAUUCCAUUUAUUGUUUAUCCUGAAAACUCCCCAGUCCUUAACUAUUACAAGCAUACCCAUAACAUGAUACAGCCACCACUUAUUUUAUAAAACAUUUAUUUCACCAUUAUUUAACCAGGUAGGCAAGUUGAGAACAAGUUCUCAUUUACAACUGCGACCUGGCCAAGAUAAAGCAAAGCAGUGUGACAAAAACAACAACACAGAGUUACGCAUGGGAUAAACAAAUGUACAGUCAAUAACAUAAUAGAAAAAUCUGUAUACAGUGUGUGCAAAUGAAGUAAGGAGGUAAGGCAAUAAAUAGGCAAUAGUGGCGAUGUCACACCCUGACCUUAUUUAUCUUUAUUAUUUUGGUUAGGUCAGGGUGUGACGAGGUUGGUAUGUGGGUUUUUGCUUGUCUAGGGUUUUUUGUAAUUCUAUGGGGUUUUGGUAUGUCUAGGUAUAUGUAGGUCUAUGGUGGCCUGAAUUGGUUCCCAAUCAGAGACAGCUGUUUAUCGUUGUCUCUGAUUGGGGAUCCUAUUUAGGUUGCCAUUUUCCAUUUUGAUUUUGUGGGUUAUUGUCUAUGUGUAGUUGCCUGUCAACACUCAUGUCUUAUAGCGUAACGGUCAUUUUUGUUGUUUUGUAUACUUUGUUCAGUGUUUCUCUUUCAUUAAAGAAGAAUGUAUUCUUAUCACGCUGCGCCUUGGUCUCCUCGUUAUGAUGAACGUGACAGGCGAAGUAAUUACAAUUUAGCAAUUAACAUUGAAGUGAUAGAUGUGCAAGUAGAAAUAGUAGAAAUAAUGGUGUGUAAAAGAGCAGAAAACAAAUAUGGGGAUGAGGUAGGUAGUUGGUUGGAUGGGCUAUUUACAGAUGGGCUGUGUAAGCUGCUCUGACAGCUGACGCUUAAAGUUAGUGAGGGAGAUAUAAGUCUCCAACUUCAGUGAUUUUUGCAAUUCAUUAAAGUCAUUG
ensembl:lncRNA